rnacentral:rRNA from 1 species
UACGUAGGGUGCAAGCGUUGUCCGGAAUUAUUGGGCGUAAAGAGCUUGUAGGCGGUCUGUCGCGUCUGCUGUGAAAAUCCGGGGCUCAACCCCGGACUUGCAGUGGGUACGGGCAGACUAGAGUGUGGUAGGGGAGACUGGAAUUCCUGGUGUAGCGGUGAAAUGCGCAGAUAUCAGGAGGAACACCGAUGGCGAAGGCAGGUCUCUGGGCCACUACUGACGCUGAGAGGCGAAAGCAUGGGGAGCGAACAGG